rnacentral:rRNA from 1 species
GACGUAGGGCGCGAGCGUUGUCCGGAUUUAUUGGGCGUAAAGAGCUCGUAGGCGGCUUGUUGCGUCAGCUGUGAAAAACCCGCAGCUCAACUGUGGGCUUGCAGCUGAUACGGGCAGACUAGAGUGCGGUAGGGGAGACUGGAAUUCCUGGUGUAGCGGUGAAAAUGCGCAGAUAUCAGGAGGAACACCGGUGGCGAAAAGCGGGGCCCCCUGGACGUCUACUGACGCUGAGACGCGAAAGCCAGGGGGAGCGAACGGG